GUAUAAAAUAACGCGUCACCAUUCUCAACUUCCUUUUUUCAACCGCUUUCUGAAAGAGUGGAGGGUGGAUGGUGCAAAAUAACAAGACCAUGUUCUCGGAUGGAUGAAAUGUCCUGCCAUCAUAAUGCUCUGAUAUGGGCUGAGUGAACCUUCGUAAAAGAAGGUGCAGUGCUACAAGUGACAAGAUGCUAAUUGUGGGUCAGUGUGCUACGUUCACAGCGCAUGAUAGAAAACACAGAUGGUUUUCUGCUGCUUGCAGCCUAUUUUGAGGAGACUACAAGUGCAAUCAGAGUGGCAAAUGAAUCAGCAGAGCGCGAAUACACUUCACUCCUGCUUGAAUCCAAGGUUGGAUAGUGCGAAAUAAGAUGGCUAUGUUCUUGGAUGGAUGAAGUGUCCUGCCAUUAUAGUGCUCUUUGAGAUUGGCUGAGUGAACCUUCUGUGAAAGAAGGUGCAUUGCUGCUGGUGAGAUGCUCACUGUGGGUCUGUGUGCCGGUGCUGAUGACUGGUGGUAAUGGUGGCACAAGUGCAGGUGCUGAUGAUUGGUGGUAAUGGUGGCGCAAGUGCAGGUGCUGAUGAUUGGUGGUAAUGGUGGCGCAAGUGCAGGUGCUCAGAAGCUUUUGACCCAGCAGGUGGAAUUUCAAGUGUUUAUAUGGGUGGUGCAAGUCAAACCUAAUCCUGAAGUGUAAAUUGUUUAUAACUUCUGGCUUUUUUGGCUUUUCCUCAAUAAACUGAAGCACUUAGUGCUUUAUUGGGACAA